AUGUCCACGCCGCACCUGUCCGAGAUCGUGGCCAUGCUGAAGAAAGCGUGCCCGCAGUGGUCACCAGCGGCGAUCAAGUCGGCGCUGAUGACGACGGCCGACGUGACGCGCCAGGACGGUACGCCGAUCGUCGACGAGACCACCGGGAAGCCGAACUGCUUCGCCAUGGGCGCCGGGCUCGUGAACCCGACGCGGGCCCUGGACCCCGGCCUCAUCUACGACCUGGCGCCGGCGGACCACAUCCCCUACGUGUGUGGCGUCGGGUACAACGAGAGCGUGGUAAACGAGAUCAUUGCACAACCGAUGUGA
rnacentral:rRNA from 1 species